rnacentral:rRNA from 1 species
GGACAAGCCCUGGAAACGGGGUCUAAUACCGGAUAACACUCUUACGGGCAUCUGUGAGGGUUAAAAGCUCCGGCGGUGAAGGAUGAGCCCGCGGCCUAUCAGCUUGUUGGUGAGGUAAUGGCUCACCAAGGCGACGACGGGUAGCCGGCCUGAGAGGGCGACCGGCCACACUGGGACUGAGACACGGCCCAGACUCCUACGGGAGGCAGCAGUGGGGAAUAUUGCACAAUGGGCGAAAGCCUGAUGCAUCGACGCCGCGUGAGGGAUGACGGCCUUCGGGUUGUAAACCUCUUUCAGCAGGAAAGAAGCGAAAGUGACGGUACCUGCAGAAGAAGCGCCGGCUAACUACGUGCCAGCAGCCGCGGUAAUACGUAGGGCGCAAGCGUUGUCCGGAAUUAUUGGGCGUAAAGAGCUCGUAGGCGGCUUGUCACGUCGAUUGUGAAAGCCCGAGGCUUAACCUCGGGUCUGCAGUCGAUACGGGCUAGCUAGAGUGUGGUAGGGGAGAUCGGAAUUCCUGGUGUAGCGGUGAAAUGCGCAGAUAUCAGGAGGAACACCGGUGGCGAAGGCGGAUCUCUGGGCCAUUACUGACGCUGAGGAGCGAAAGCGUGGGGAGCGAACAGGAUUAGAU